rnacentral:tRNA from 1 species
GCGGGAGUAGCUCAAUGGUAGAGCGCUAGUUUUCCAAACUAGAUACGCGAGUCCGAUUCUCGUCUCCCGCU